AUGAAGUGUUCACCGAUCCAGUUGUUAAUCGCUACGAGCUUCGAUUUCCUCUUCACUGAGAGGAGGCGCAGGUGUUUAGUGCAGUAAAAGCCAAGCAGCCCUUCAGAGAUCCCCGUGAAGAGCAGAGACUCCGUCCAUUGUAGUGCUCGGCGCCGACGCUGCAGUAUAUCUGCGCUCAAAAUGACAGACCUGCACGUUGAAGCCAAGUUCAGUGACAAAGUAAAAGAGCCAUUUAUCUAAAUGAAGACAUGACUGGUGGCUCUGGAGGAUGAGCUCUUCCUUGGUGACACACACACCAUAAAGAAGGACACGGUGAGCCCGUCGUGCUGGACAUGCAGUAGCACAGCGGAGGGAGUUUGUCUGCUGCUCUUGUGAAUGAUUUUUAAAUAUAACUCGUAUUACUAGGAGGCAGAGGCACAACUGAAACUUGGGGAGAACCUCAGAGAUUUGAAGAAACCAGGAAUUCAUUUUACCAGACAGACAGACAGACAUUUUCACGAGUGUUUCAUUAUUUCUGCAGGUGAAUUCUACUAACAAACCAUCGCAGUGCCUUAAUGCUGAGAGCCUGACUUUAAUGAUCAGACCUGCUG